ACAAAAAAAAUAUUACCGUAAUGACAAAAGUAACUUAUUUUUGAUUUAAAAAGUUGCUAAAAUUAGCUUGAGGGAAAGUUUUUUUCUUGUUUAAAAUAUGAAAACUUUUACUGGUAAAGUUUUUGAAAAUCUCCUUACUAACUGAUUUAAAAGUCUUAACUUUUAAUACGACUGUAGAAUUUCUUUCAUUUUGACGUUCUCGUGUAACCGUGUACGACUAAGUUCCAAAUGUAAACAAACACUUUGGUGGGUCCGGUGGUGCUGGUGAUUCUAGGACGCAAAGCAAAGCCGACGGUGGCAGCAGCCAGGAAUCGGACGCGGAAACCUUCGUGAGCCAAACAGCAGCAGCGGAACGCAUUCGAAGGAGGGUGGUGCGGGUGCGGGACGAGGUGAAGUGCUCAAAAAGGACAAGGCGAGCUUCCUGCAGGAACUGCAGCUGUUCCACGACCGGAAUGGGAUGGGAGGUAGGAAUGUGGAUUCGCACCGGUUGUAUUCGGUGGUGGUGGCCCGGGAUUGGUGAUUGAAGGUCAAUUCCCGCGAGGACUGUAACGAGAUCAUCGAGGAGAUGGCGCUGCCGAAGAGUUGCGUGAACAACGAGAUUGCGUUGAAGAAGAUAAACAUCCGGUUUUUGGACAAGUACGAGACAGGUGAUUUUCACGGUGAGGAGAAGGAGCCGACGAAGAGGAGGACGUCGAGAAGCGGGAUAAUCGGAGGUAGCCAGAGCGGAUGUUGCACUCGGUGCCGGCGGUUUACAACACCUCAAAUAACCGUCCACAAAUGCUCAUCUCGCGACGGCG